AAUACCGGAUAGGACAGCUGUUUAGUGUCAGUUGUGGAAAGUUUUUUCGGUGCAAGAUGAGCUCGCGGCCUAUCAGCUUGUUGGUGGGGUAAUGGCCUACCAAGGCGUCGACGGGUAGCCGGCCUGAGAGGGUGUACGGCCACAUUGGGACUGAGAUACGGCCCAGACUCCUACGGGAGGCAGCAGUGGGGAAUAUUGCACAAUGGGCGGAAGCCUGACGCAGCGACGCCGCGUGGGGGAUGAAGGCCUUCGGGUUGUAAACUCCUUUCGACAGGGACGAAGCGUAAGUGACGGUACCUGUAUAAGAAGCACCGGCUAACUACGUGCCAGCAGCCGCGGUAAUACGUAGGGUGCGAGCGUUGUCCGGAAUUACUGGGCGUAAAGAGCUCGUAGGUGGUUUGUCGCGUCGUCUGUGAAAUUCCGGGGCUUAACUCCGGGCGUGCAGGCGAUACGGGCUGACUUGAGUGCUGUAGGGGAGACUGGAAUUCCUGGUGUAGCGGUGAAAUGCGCAGAUAUCAGGAGGAACACCGAUGGCGAAGGCAGGUCUCUGGGCAGUAACUGACGCUGAGGAGCGAAAGCAUGGGUAGCGAACAGGAUUAGAUACCCUGGUAGUCCAUGCCGUAAACGGUGGGCGCUAGGUGUAGGGGGCUUCCACGUCUUCUGUGCCGUAGCUAACGCAUAAGCGCCCCGCCUGGGGAGUACGGCCGCAAGGCUAAAACUCAAAGGAAUUGACGGGGGCCCGCACAAGCGGCGGAGCAUGUGGAUUAAUUCGAUGCAACGCGAAGACUUACCUGGGCUUGACAUAUACAAGACAGGCGUAGAGAUACGUCCUCCCUUGUGGUUUGUAUACAGGUGGUGCAUGGUUGUCGUCAGCUCGUGUCGUGAGAUGUUGGGUUAAGUCCCGCAACGAGCGCAACCCUUGUCUUAUGUUGCCAGCAUUUGGUUGGGGACUCAUGAGAGACUGCCGGGGUCAACUCGGAGGAAGGUGGGGAUGACGUCAAAUCAUCAUGCCCCUUAUGUCCA
rnacentral:rRNA from 1 species